UACCAGCACCCCCGAGUGGUCGGGACGAUUAUUGGGCCUAAGCAUCCGUAGCCGGUCUUGCAAGUCUUCCGUUAAAUCCAGCUGCUUAACAGAUGGGCUGCGGAGGAUACUACAAGGCUAGGAGGCGGGAGAGGCAAGCGGUACUCAGUGGGUAGGGGUAAAUCCUCUGAUCCAUUGAAGACCACCAGUAGCGAAGGCGGCUUGCCAGAACGCGCUCGACGGUGAGGGAUGAAAGCUGGGGGGAGCAAACCGG
rnacentral:rRNA from 1 species